UUAGCCAUGCUUAGUUCAACUAGUACAUAAAUAGGGAUCACAUUAUUACAUAGACUUUGACUAUUAGCAUAGCUUCGGAUUGGUGCCACCGCAAGGGUGUUAGUUAAUUAAAGGGGCAAUUGUGUUCUUGCCCCUACUUUGCAGUUCAAUUGUGAUUUUACCCCUGUUUUUAGGGUUUGUGAUUUUGCCCCUACUUUUUUGAAAUGAAGCACCCGUUUGCCCCUUUUUUUUGACGGUAGUUUGAUGGGCCCGAAAUUUCCCAAUAAAGCGAAGAAAGAAAAUGAUAUUAUAAUUUGUGAAUGACCAUUCUACCCUUGGUUUACUAAAAGGGCUUACCAUUAACCACUUCUCUUGCUGGAACGAUUUCCCCAAAUCGAAAACCUAGCGACAAGCGGCGGCGGCGGCGGCGACGGGCGCGGCAGGGAGGCGCGGCGGCCCCGCGGGCCAGCGCGCGGCAGGGAGACGUGGCGGCCCGGUGGUCCAACUGCCAUGGGCCAGCGCGCAGGAGGGCGCAGCGCGGCGGGCGCACGCGCAGGGAUCAAGACUUUUGUAAUUCAGGGGGAGGAGGACACCUGCAGCUUCGUCUUCCUCUGUCAGUGCCUUCGCUACCGCCUCCGAUUCGCAGAGGCUAGCCGGGAAGGUCGUCGUCAUCACCGGCGGCGCCAGCGGCAUCGGCAGGGCGACGGCGGAGGAGUUUAUUGUCCCAAAUAAUGUGUUCUAAUCAUAUGACGGAGAGGGUGUACAUAUUGUCCCAAAUAAUGUGUUCUGUCAUCUUUUUUAAAUUAUGUCAAAAUUAUUGCUAAAAUUCUGUCAAAACUAUCCUAAAUAUUGUGUUCUGUCAACUUGUACAAAAUUUAUCAACAUUUAGGUCCCAUAUGAAAAAUACGCACGAAUUUAACUUGAAACAUGUCCAAUGUUCAUGCCAAAAUUAUAGUAGGGGUAUAUUUGUCCAUUCACCACAUAUUUAACACCAUUAUAAUGAGGUAACAGAGUAGGGGCAAGCGGCUGCUUCAUUUAAAAAAAGCAGGGGCAAAAUCACAAACCCUAAAAAGUAGGGGUAAAAUCACAAUUGAACUGUAAAGCAAGGGUAAGAACACAA